rnacentral:rRNA from 1 species
UUAAGGGUGCAGGGCGGAUGCCUUGGCACUAGGAGCCGAUGAAGGACGUGAUAAGCUGCGAUAAGCUUCGGGGAGUUGCACGUAAACUUUGAUCCGAAGAUUUCCGAAUGAGGAAACUCACUUAGAGUAAUGUCUAAGUAUCAUUAAGUGAAUACAUAGCUUAAUGAGGGGAACUCAGGGAACUGAAACAUCUAAGUACCUGAAGGAAGAGAAAGAAAUUCGAUUCCGUAAGUAGCGGCGAGCGAACGCGGAUUAGCCCAAACCAAUAAAGUUUUCUUUACUGGGGUUGCGGACAUAUCAUAACGAAGAGGUAUCGUAAUUGAAGAGGUUUGGAAAGACCCACCACAGAAGGUAAUAGUCCUGUAUGUUAAACGAGAAGACUUCAGAUAUGAUCCAGAGUACCACGGGACACGUGAAACCCUGUGGGAAGCAGGAGGGACCACCCUCCAAGGCUAAAUACUACCUAGUGACCGAUAGCGUAUAGUACCGUGAGGGAAAGGUGAAAAGAACCCCGGGAGGGGAGUGAAAUAGAACCUGAAACCCUGCACUUACAAGCUGUGGAAGCACAUUUCUUGUGUGACCGCGUACUUUUUGUAGAACGGGCCAACGAGUUACGUUAAGUAGCAAGGUUAAGCACUUAAGGUGCGGAGCCGUAGCGAAAGCGAGUUUUAACUGAGCGUUCAGUUACUUGACGUAGACCCGAAACCGGGCGACCUACCCAUGAGCAGGAUGAAGCGAAAGUAAAAUUUCGUGGAGGUCCGAACCCACGAGCGUUGAAAAGCUCGGGGAUGACUUGUGGGUAGCGGUGAAAUUCCAAUCGAGCCCGGAGAUAGCUGGUUCUCCCCGAAAUAGCUUUAGGGCUAGCCUCAAGGUGAGAGAUACGGAGGUAGAGCACUGAAUGUCCUAGGGGGUAUUGCACCUACCGAAGACUAUCAAACUCCGAAUGCCGUCAUCUUAUACUUGGGAGUCAGACUGUGGGUGAUAAGAUUCAUAGUCGAAAGGGCAACAGCCCAGAUCGUCAGCUAAGGUCCCUAAAUGUAAGUUAAGUGGUAAAGGAUGUGGGAUUGCACAGACAACCAGGAUGUUGGCUUAGAAGCAGCCACUCAUUCAAAGAGUGCGUAAUAGCUCACUGGUCGAGUGAUCCUGCGCCGAAGAUUUCCGGGGCUAAAACUUACUACCGAAGCUACGGCAUCAGUAAUGAUGGGUAGGGGAGCUUCCCAUACGGGUUGAAGCAUGACCGUAAGGACAUGUGGACAGUAUGGGAGUGAGAAUGUUGGCAUGAGUAGCGAGAUGUGGGUGAGAAUCCCACAGGCCGUAAACCCAAGGUUUCCAGGGGAAGGUUCGUCCGCCCUGGGUUAGUCGGGACCUAAGCUGAGGCCGAAAGGCGUAGGUGAUGGACAACAGGUUGAUAUUCCUGUACUACCGAUAACCGUUUGAGAGAAGGGAUGACACAGUAGGAUAAGCUAAGCACACUGUUGGUUAUGUGUGCCCAAGCAUUGAGGCAGUCAAAGCAGGCAAAUCCGCUUUGAUAAUGCUGGGAUGUGAUGGGGAGCGAAAUUUAGUAGCGAAGUAGCUGAUUUCACACUGUCAAGAAAAGUCUCUAUCGAGGUUAAAGGUACCCGUACCGCAAACCGACACAGGUGGGUGAGGAGAGUAUCCUAAGGCCAGCGAGAGAACUGUUGUUAAGGAACUCGGCAAAAUGACCCCGUAACUUAGGGAUAAGGGGUGCCACCAUCCGGUGGCCGCAGAGAAUAGGCCCAAGCGACUGUUUACCAAAAACAUAGGUUUCUGCUAAGUCGCAAGACGAUGUAUAGGAGCUGACGCCUGCCCGGUGCUGGAAGGUUAAGGGGAUCUGUUAGAGCAAUCGAAGCAGUGAACUUAAGCCCCAGUAAACGGCGGCCGUAACUAUAACGGUCCUAAGGUAGCGAAAUUCCUUGUCGGGUAAGUUCCGACCCGCACGAAAGGCGUAACGAUUUGGGCACUGUCUCAACAACAGACUCGGUGAAAUUGUAAUUCCGGUGAAGAUGCCGGAUACCUGCGACAGGACGGAAAGACCCCAUGGAGCUUUACUGUAGCUUGACAUUGGGUCUUGGUACUACAUGUACAGGAUAGGUGGGAGGCUUUGAAACCAGGACGCCAGUUUUGGCGGAGCCAUCCUUGGGAUACCACCCUUGUAGUACUGGGACUCUAACCAUAGGCCAUGAAUCUGGUCUUGGGACACUGUCAGGUGGGCAGUUUGACUGGGGCGGUCGCCUCCCAAAAGGUAACGGAGGCGCUCAAAGGUUCUCUCAGUACGGUCGGAAAUCGUACGUAGAGUGUAAAGGCAAAAGAGAGCUUGAUUGCAAGACAUACAGGUCGAGCAAGGAUGAAAAUCGGACUUAGUGAUCCGGUGGUUCUGCGUGGAAGGGCCAUCGCUCAACGGAUAAAAGCUACCCUGGGAUACAGCUUAUCUCCCCCAAGAUCCACAUCGACGGGGAGGUUGCACCUCGAUGUCGGCUCAUCACAUCCUGGGGCUGUAGUAGGUCCCAAGGGUUGGGCUGUUCGCCCAUUAAAGUGGUACGCGAGCUGGGUUCAGAACGUCGUGAGACAGUUCGGUCCCUAUCCGUCGCAGGCGUAGGAAAUUUGAGAAGACCUGUCCUUAGUACGAGAGGACCGGGAUGGACGUACCUCUGGUGUACCAGUUGUUCUGCCAAGGGCAUGGCUGGGUAGCUAUGUACGGAAUGGAUAAGCGCUGAAAGCAUCUAAGCGCGAAGCCAACUUCAAGAUAGAUUUCCCACCGCAAGGGUAAGACCCCAGAAAGACUAUCUGGUUGAUAGGUCGAAGGUGUAAGUGCAGCAAUGUAUUUAGCUUAUCGAUACUAAUAGGUCGAGGACUUGACC